rfam:Gossypium hirsutum cultivar TM-1 chromosome 25, whole genome shotgun sequence
UGCUAAAAAUUCCAUUUAUAUUUAUUGUUAAAAACUGGCGUGGUUAAUGAAAUAAUCAGAAAGUGGCAUGUGGCAUGCUACUUGUACCUCAUACUAAUGUACAUGAACCAAAUUUUAACAAUAGAAUUAGAUGAAAUUUUUAAUA